CAGAAUAAGGGAGAACAGAAAGAAUCAAAAGGCAAAAGUGAGUUCAUAAAGUAGAUGCAGCGCCUAAAAAGGAAAAAUAUAAAGAAUGAGAAAAUGCUGACGAAAGAAACUAUGUAACAAAAAGGCAAGCAUGUGUGCCACUGAAAUCCUGAUGGUACCUUGUCUCACUCAACAUGUAAAAUUAACAUCAGAACACCACUGUGGUUUGCCCUGUAAAUUUGCAGGAAAUAAACUGGCAAUGGGCUCUACAACAGUAUAGCUACAAAAUGUUCAUCUAUAAUGUUCUUACUAUAGUAUAUACUGUCCAUGCAGCUUAAACACUGCAGGGGCUAUUGACAAGAUAGUACAGAUAUUACCGCAAACGUGAGACAAUUUUAAAGAUUACAAAUCUCACAGCAGUCCAAAUAAAAGAAAACAAAAUAAAAAUGAAACAACCACAUCUAGAAUAAUAUCUCAUAAAGAUACAAAGAAACUAGAAGUAUUGUUAUUUCCAUUAUAAUGCUUUCUCAAAAGUACUAUGGACAUUUUACAUUUACAUGCAGAAUUGACAAAAGACCUGUUCUCAUUCUUAGAAUCCAUAUUGGAUAGCACAGUAGAAUUGGGGAUUGGAAACAUCUCGCUCUUCGUAAUUGCAUAAACCGCAUGACCGCAUAUCAUUCCGACUUUCCUUCUUUUUGUAAUAAGCACCAUGUAAUAAGGUCCCAAAAACUUUACAAAACCUAAAAUCCACCAAAAACAAAGAGUUGCAUUACAAAUAAAAAAAUCCAUUCAGAAAGAGAAUGAAACUUUAGUGGUAUAACAUACCAACAAUUCCGUAGCAGGUCGGGAAACAUCUCGCUCUUCGUAAUGGCAUAAACUGCAUGACCGCAUAUCAUUCCGACUUUCCUUCUUUUUGUAAUAAGCACCAUGUAAUAAGGUCCCAAAAAUUUUA
rnacentral:lncRNA from 1 species